GAUGAAGAACGCAGCGAAAUGCGAUACUUGGUGUGAAUUGCAGAAUCCCAUGAACCAUCGAGUCUUUGAACGCAAGUUGCGCCCGAAGCCAUUAGGCCGAGGGCACGCCUGCCUGGGCGUCACACGUCGUUGCCCCCCCAUCUACUCCUUCGGGAUUGCGGGGGGCGGAUGAUGGCCUCCCGUGCGCCUCGUCGCGCGGUUGGCAUAAAUACCAAGUCCUCGGCGACGCACGCCACGACAAUCGGUGGUUGCGAAACCUCGGUUGCCCGUCGUGUGCGGUCGUCGCGCAUCGAGGGCUCGAAAAAAUUGCCGGGCUCCGGCUCGGCUUUCAACGCGACCCCAGGUCAGGCGGGGUUACCCGCUGAAUUUAAGCAUAUCAAUAAGCGGAGGA
rnacentral:misc_RNA from 1 species